rnacentral:rRNA from 1 species
AUGGUCUUUACCAGUAUACGUAGAGGUGAUCUAUACAUUGUUGAUUUCACUAAAAAGGCUCAACCUAGAACUUGCUUAAUUGCUAAAUCAUCUAAAGGUUGGUUAUGGCAUAGAAGGUUAGGUCAUGUGGGCAUGCGAAAUCUUGAUAAGCUUAUUAAAGGUGAUCAUAUCCUUGAAGUUAAAGAUGUUAUAUUUGACAAAGAUAGACUUUGCAGUGUCUGUCAAGCAGGAAAACAGGUUGGAGGGAGCCAUCCCGUGAAAAACAUUAUGACCACGAGAAGACCGCUCGAGCUGCUUCAUAUGGAUCUUUUUGGUCCCAACGCCUACAAGAGUCUCGGUGGUAACUCGUUCAGUUUAGUCAUUGUCGAUGACUUUUCAAGAUUUACGUGGGUGUUCUUUCUUGAUGACAAAUCACAGGUCCAAAAGAUCUUCAAGAACUUCGCUAGGAAGGCCCAAAAAUCAAUUUGA